GUGCUUGCUUCGGCAGCACAUAUACUAAAAUUGGAACAAUACGGAGAAGAUUAGCAUGGCCCCUGUGCAAGGAUAACUUGGCUUAAUAUCCUAGCAGGUGAUU